CCCCACCUCAGGAGCAGCACCAGGGGGCUCAGCAGGGGAAUGCAGAGGCAGAGGGAGUGAAGCAGAGGCUGACUAAUGUGGGAUUUCAAAGAGGCAGCAGGGUGUUUACCAGUAACAGAAGCAGGCAAACUGAAACUGAAGAGGCAGCAGGCAGCCAUGCAUGCAGAGAGGAAAGGGAGAGGGGCAGGCAGGCAGGUGUCAGUCUGUUGGUGAUGCUCUUGGGUCUGCACUAACAAUCCUUUUAAACAGAAAAAGUAACAGAAAGGGGGACAGAGGAGAAAGAAAAGUACUUCCAAAGAGGACACCUCACAGCCUCUGACCCUUGCUGUAGGAACAAGCUCCACUUGGGGAAGGAAAUGAAGCCAGCAGUUCAGAAGAAGGGUUCCUCCCAGUGUCUCUCGUCUGCUGACUCCUCUGGGAGAGGAUCCAUGCCCAGGGCUGAGGUCCAGGAGCUGUCCUACAGUGUCUAGGAGAAGGGGCAGAAAGUAGCUGAUGGGACUUGUGGACUACUCCUUUGAUGUUUGAGGCAUGGAAAGUGGAGUAAUAGCAUAGGAGCGGUACCGAAUGGGAACAGGAUUCUACCAAAGGAGUGUGCUAACAGGGAGAGAAGUCUACAUAGGCUGUUGCUGUCUUACAUUAGUGCCAUUGAAUCAUAGAAAUGUUUGGAAGGGACUGCGUUAGGUCAUCUAGUCCAGUCUCCUGCACUGAGGCAAGACCAAGUAUACAUAGACAUAGACCAUCCCUGACAAGGGUUUGUCCAACCUGUUCCUAAAAACCUCCAGUGACAAGGACUCCACAUCCUCCGUUGGCAACCAAGUCCAGUUCUUAACUAUCAUUAGUUAUUUUUCUUAAUAUUGAAUGUAAAUCUUCUUUGGUGAAGAUUAAGCCGAUUACUGCUCAUUCUACCUGCACUGGACCUGGGGAAGGGAAGCAGCACUUCUCUUGCCAGUACUUUCAUUGCCCAGAAGCUGCCUCUGGCCUUGAUACUUCCUCGUCUUCCAGUCUUUAAAGAGGACUCUGGUCCUGUCAAGCUCCCAACUGCUGAACGUGGGCUGUAGUAGCAACUGUGGUUUGCAACCACCCACUCCCUCUACAACAUGUGUUUUGUGACCAAUAGCCCAUACAUGCCCUUGGGCUGCCUACCACCCCUUAACACUACUGCAGUGGGCUGGCUGGGAGCCAAGAUUAAUGAUGAGCAAGGAGCUGCCAAGUCCCUCAUUGUAGCCUCUCCCUGGCUUCUCAUAGACUGAUUCCUUUGCAUGUGUUGGACAGAGAGGAAUGGGAGAGGAGCAGGGUUUCACCCUAGGGGAAUGAGGAUUUUUUAAAAAAUGUAUAUAUAGCACUCAUAAGGGAAUGUCAGGCUUAGAUUGACCUGUGCUCUGUCCCUUUAAUGAUUGGUAGUCCACAGAGGGUGUC